rnacentral:rRNA from 1 species
GGAUGAACGCUAGCGGCAGGCCUAAUACAUGCAAGACGAGCGGUAAACGGUUCAGCAAUGAGACUAUGAGAGCGUCGUAAGGGUGCGUAACACGUAUGCAAUCUGCCUGGAACUGGGGCAUAGCUCGCCGAAAGGCGGAUUAACUCCCCAUAAGAUCAUUUGGUGGCAUCACAUUGAGUGAUUAAACUGAUGGUGGUUCCAGAUGAGCAUGCGGAUGAUUAGCUAGUUGGUAGUGUAACGGACUACCAAGGCGAUGAUCAAUAGGGGAACUGAGAGGUUGAUCCCCCACACUGGCACUGAGAUACGGGCCAGACUCCUACGGGAGGCAGCAGUAGGGAAUAUUGGACAAUGGGUGCAAGCCUGAUCCAGCCAUGCCGCGUGCAGGAAGAAGGCUUUCUGAGUUGUAAACUGCUUUUGCCAGGGGAUAAAAGACCGAUGCGUCGGGAAUUGAAGGUACCUGGUGAAUAAGCCACGGCUAACUACGUGCCAGCAGCCGCGGUAAUACGUAGGUGGCAAGCGUUGUCCGGAUUUAUUGGGUUUAAAGGGUGCGUAGGCGGCCUUGUAAGUCAGUGGUGAAAUACUUCAGCUUAACUGUCGAGGUGCAAUUGAUACUGCGAGGCUUGAGUACUGAUGAGGUAAGCGGAAUGGACGGU